rnacentral:rRNA from 1 species
UCCCGACGGCCCGAGUGGUGCUCACAAUUAUUGGGUCUAAAACAUUCGUAGUCGGUUUCUUAAGUCUUUUGUCAAAUCACUAUGCUUAACGUAGCCACGGCAAAAGAUACUGGGAGACUAGGGACUGGGAGACGUAACGAGUACAGUAGGGGUAACGGUAAAAUGUUUUAAGCCUUACUGGACUAACAAUGGCGAAGGCACGUUACGAGAACAGCUCCGACGAUGAGGAAUGAAAGCUAGGGGCG